rnacentral:tRNA from 1 species
GACUCCAUAGUGUGGUGGUUAGCACGUCUGCUUUACACACAUAAGGUCCUGGGUUCGCGACCCAAGUGGAGCCA